UACACGACCGUACCGCAAACCGACACUGGUGCGCGAGAUGAGUAUUCUAAGGCGCUUGAGAGAACUCAGGAGAAGGAACUCGGCAAAUUGACACCGUAACUUCGGAAGAAGGUGUGCCUUUAGUAGGUGAACCUGUACAAGGGGAGCCCAAUGAGGUUGCAAAAAAUCGGUGGCUGCGACUGUUUAAUAAAAACACAGCACUCUGCAAACACGAAAGUGGACGUAUAGGGUGUGACGCCUGCCCGGUGCUGGAAGAUUAAAUGAUGGGGUGCAAGCUCUUGAUUGAAGUCCCAGUAAACGGCGGCCGUAACGAUAACGGUCCUAAGGUAGCGAAAUUCCUUGUCGGGUAAGUUCCGACCUGCACGAAUGGCGUAACGAUGGCCACACUGUCUCCUCCUGAGACUCAGCGAAGUUGAAAUGUUUGUGAUGAUGCAAUCUCCCCGCGGAAAGACGGAAAGACCCCAUGAACCUUUACUGUAGCUUUGUAUUGGACUUUGAACAGAUCUGUGUAGGAUAGGUGGGAGGCUUUGAAGUGUGGUCGCUAGAUCGCAUGGAGCCAACGUUGAAAUACCACCCUGGUGUGUUUGAGGUUCUAACCUAGGCCCGUAAUCCGGGUCGGGGACAGUGCAUGGUAGGCAGUUUGACUGGGGCGGUCUCCUCCCAAAGCGUAACGGAGGAGUUCGAAGGUACGCUAGGUACGGUCGGACAUCGUGCUAAUAGUGCAAUGGCAUAAGCGUGCUUAACUGCGAGACUGACAAGUCGAGCAGAUGCGAAAGCAGGACAUAGUGAUCCGGUGGUUCUGUAUAGAAGGGCCAUCGCUCAACGGAUAAAAGGUACUCUGGGGAUAACAGGCUGAUACCGCCCAAGAGUUCAUAUCGACGGCGGUGUUUGGCACCUCGAUGUCGGCUCAUCUCAUCCUGGGGCUGUAGCCGGUCCCAAGGGUAUGGCUGUUCGCCAUUUAAAGAGGUACGUGAGCUGGGUUUAAAACGUCGUGAGACAGUUUGGUCCCUAUCUUCCGUGGGCGCUGCAGAUUUGAGGAAGCCUGCUCCUAGUACGAGAGGACCGGAGUGGACACACCUCUGGUGUAUCGGUUGUCACGCCAGUGGCAUUGCCGAGUAGCUAUGUGUGGAAGAGAUAACCGCUGAAAGCAUCUAAGCGGGAAACUCGUUUCAAGAUGAGAUCUGCCGGGGCCUUGAGCCCCCUAAAGAGUCGUUCAAGACCAGGACGUUGAUAGGUCGGGUGUGGAAGCGCAGUAAUGCGUUAAGCUAACCGAUACUAAUUGCUCGUGCGGCUUGACC
rnacentral:rRNA from 1 species